UACGUAGGGUGCAAGCGUUAAUCGGAAUUACUAGGCGUAAAGCGUGCGCAGGCGGUUAUGUAAGACAGUUGUGAAAUCCCCGGGCUCAAACUGGGAACUGCAUCUGUGACUGCAUAGCUAGAGUACGGUAGAGGGGGAUGGAAUUCCGCGUGUAGCAGUGAAAUGCGUAGAUAUGCGGAGGAACACCGAUGGCGAAGGCAAUCCCCUGGACCUGUACUGACGCUCAUGCACGAAAGCGUGGGGAGCAAACAGG
rnacentral:rRNA from 1 species